rnacentral:tRNA from 1 species
UUAGGGACACGGCAAAACUGUCUUGUAAACAGGGGGUCGUCGGUUCGAAUCCGAUAGGGGGCUCCA